rnacentral:rRNA from 1 species
UGGGGAAUUUUGGACAAUGGGCGCAAGCCUGAUCCAGCAAUGCCGCGCGCAGGAUGAAGGCCUUCGGGUUGUAAACUGCUUUUGUACGGAACGAAACGGCUCUGGUUAAUACCUGGGGCUAAUGACGGUACCGUAAGAAUAAGCACCGGCUAACUACGUGCCAGCAGCCGCGGUAAUACGUAGGGUGCGAGCGUUAAUCGGAAUUACUGGGCGUAAAGCGUGUGCAGGCGGUUAUAUAAGACAGAUGUGAAAUCCCCGGGCUCAACCUGGGAACUGCAUUUGUGACUGUAUAGCUAGAGUACGGCAGAGGGGGAUGGAAUUCCGCGUGUAGCAGUGAAAUGCGUAGAUAUGCGGAGGAACACCGAUGGCGAAGGCAAUCCCCUGGGCCUGUACUGACGCUCAUGCACGAAAGCGUGGGGAGCAAACA